GUGGGGAAUUUUGGACAAUGGGCGAAAGCCUGAUCCAGCCAUGCCGCGUGCAGGAUGAAGGCCUUCGGGUUGUAAACUGCUUUUGUACGGAACGACAAGACUCCUUCUAAUAAAGGGGGUCCAUGACGGUACCGUAAGAAUAAGCACCGGCUAACUACGUGCCAGCAGCCGCGGUAAUACGUAGGGUGCAAGCGUUAAUCGGAAUUACUGGGCGUACAGCGUGCGCAGGCGGUGAUGUAAGACAGUUGUGAAAUCCCCGGGCUCAACCUGGGAACUGCAUCUGUGACUGCAUUGCUGGAGUGCGGCAGAGGGGGAUGGAAUUCCGCGUGUAGCAGUGAAAUGCGUAGAUAUGCGGAGGAACACCGAUGGCGAAGGCAAUCCCCUGGGCCUGCACUGACGCUCAUGCACGAAAGCGUGGGGAGCAAACAGGAUUAGAUACCCGAGUAGUCC
rnacentral:rRNA from 1 species